CUAAUACCCCAUAUUAUCCGAGACGGCAUCGUCUUGGGUUGAAAACUCCGGUGGUUUAAGAUGGGCAUGCGUUGUAUUAGCUGGUUGGUGAGGUAACGGCUCACCAAGGCGACGAUACAUAGGGGGACUGAGAGGUCAACCCCCCACAUUGGUACUGAGACACGGACCAAACUCCUACGGGAGGCAGCAGUGAGGAAUAUUGGUCAAUGGACGCAAGUCUGAACCAGCCAUGCCGCGUGCAGGAAGACGGCUCUAUGAGUUGUAAACUGCUUUUGUACGAGGGUAACAGCAUCUACGCGUAGGUGCAUGAAAGUAUCGUACGAAUAAGGAUCGGCUAACUCCGUGCCAGCAGCCGCGGUAAUACGGAGGAUCCAAGCGUUAUCCGGAUUUAUUGGGUUUAAAGGGUGCGUAGGCGGUUUUAUAAGUUAGAGGUUAAAUAUCGGAGCUUAACUCCGUUAUGCCUCUAAUACUGUAGGACUAGAGAAUAGUUGCGGUAGGCGGAAUGUAUGGUGUAGCGGUGAAAUGCUUAGAGAUCAUACAGAACACCGAUUGCGAAGGCAGCUUACCAAACUAUAUCUGACGUUGAGGCACGAAAGCGUGGGGAGCAAACAGGAUUAGAUACCCUGGUAGUCCACGCAGUAAACGAUGAUAACUCGUUGUCGGCGAUACACAGUCGGUGACUAAGCGAAAGCGAUAAGUUAUCCACCUGGGGAGUACGUUCGCAAGAAUGAAACUCAAAGGAAUUGACGGGGGCCCGCACAAGCGGAGGAACAUGUGGUUUAAUUCGAUGAUACGCGAGGAACCUUACCCGGGCUUGAAAGUUAUCGACGGACCUAGAAAUAGGUCUUCCCUACGGGGCGAGAAACUAGGUGCUGCAUGGUUGUCGUCAGCUCGUGCCGUGAGGUGUCGGGUUAAGUCCCAUAACGAGCGCAACCCCUACCGUUAGUUGCCAUCAGGUCAAGCUGGGCACUCUGGCGGGACUGCCGGUGUAAGCCGAGAGGAAGGUGGGGAUGACGUCAAAUCAGCACGGCCCUUACGUCCGGGGCUACACA
rnacentral:rRNA from 1 species